rnacentral:misc_RNA from 1 species
AACGCACAUUGCGCCCUCUAGUAUCCUAGGGGGCAUGCCUGUUCGAGCGUCACUACAACACUCAAGCCCUGCUUGGCGUUGGGGCCCUACGGGGAGAUUUAUUCUCACCAUAGGCCCUGAAAACCAGUGGCGGGACCGCUUUAGGAACCCGGGCGAAGUAACCAUUACAGCGCCUAGGGAUACCUGGCCGGGCCUUGCCGAUCAAGGGGAGAAUCAUAGUGUUUUCCCCCCCAAGUGUUGACCUCGGAUCAGGUAGGAAUACCCGCUGAACUUAA